AUCAACAUAGUGAUAGCAAGAAAAGAAUGUCUAUCCUUCCAGUAGUAGAUGAACUAUUCAUAUUCUCAUCCCAUUCCGUCCGCCCACUCACCCACCCAUCCACCCACAAACCUUUGUUUCCUUUUUCACAAAGGAGGUAUGUGACCACGCAUCUGCAUAAAGCGUAGGACAGAGACUCAAAAAGUCAAUGACCCUGAAAAGUUUUCUUUCCCCGCCGUCUCGCUCUUUCUAGAGUGGGGGCAAAGGAAUAAAGGGGGCAUCUCUGCUCAACCCUUCUUUUAACAUUUAUCUUUUUCCUGAGAAUAGCAGACGGACCGAGAAAGAUUUGUCUUCUCAUCUAAAGGUAAUAAUGUUCUCAUUCUCAUUUCAAUCAUUACCGGAUGUUUUCCAAUUUGAGAAAUUUCGCAUUUUUUCUCAUUCGCUGAUUCAUUCUCUUAAGGUUAUGUUGUGAUAUUAUUUGGUACUUUUAAAAACUCGCCGAAAUUAACUACAGCCUGUUUGCUAUUCGAGUGAAAUCGCAAAAUUAUAAGAAUUUGCUUUCUCUUUGUAUGGAUGAUGCAAAAUGGACCAUGUACAUGAUUUCUACUGAUCUCUUGCUGUUGUAUAACCGUUGAUUGAUGAUAUUCGCAGAGGGUGGUUAAUUUUAUCAAUGAUUCUGCCUUUUAGGAGUGUAGAUUUCUGUUCAUUAUUCGCCUACAAGGUGAAUAAAUUAUGAUCAAGUAAAAAAAAAAAAUUGUCGGGUAAAGUUUCUGCGCCGUUAUUGCUGGAAAAGAUAAAAAGAAUAGGGGAUGCCAUUUUAGCGACCUUGGAUUAAUAUGGGGGACUUUGACAGAGACGUAUCCUGGGAAGAAAAUUCCAGGAUUUGCUUCGAGGUUAAAUUGGACAUGCCGCUCCUGCUCCCCGCAGGAGCACUAGGCACGCACCCGCCCUCACAGUCUAAUCUCUGUCUGCCACGUGCCUGCCGCUACUGAUUUGAAUCCAAUCACGUUGUAUCAGCAGCCUAGAUGGUACGUCGACUGGUUAAAACAUGUUACGAGGGUUUACAUGUUUACUCAAUGCACGGACCGGAUAUUAGUGAUGCCGUUGCCGCUAUGCUUUAUCUACAAGCUACUAAUUAGUUAGAUAAUCUAUCUACUUUACCAUGUCCUGUCGCUUAUAGGGAUUACUUUCGAUUAACCCAACUAAUAAAAUUAAUUAUCUUCGAAUUAUUCGCAAAUUAAUGGAAACCUCAACUUGUCCUCAAUUACUAUUUAGAGAGAUAAGGGAAAAAUGUUCUCAACAAUAGUUAGGGUUAAAUUUUGAUUUAUAAUAAUUUAGAGGUACUUUAAGCAUAAACAAUUUAUGAAGGGGGUAAAUUGAAAUUAAUCCCUCUUAAAACAGUUUUUAAUCAAUAACGCGAUCACCAGAGCGGUCAGCUUAUUUGACAUUUGCUGUACAAAAAGCAGCAGAAACUUAAAUGAAUGCAUGGUUCGUAAUAAUUAUCGAUAAGUUUACAAUUAUCAAUAUCUCGGAACUUAAGUGCUUUUCCAAUUAAAAUAUAAAGUGAUGAUUUAAUAGCUAUCAAAAACUAUUAAAAUAUAAAAAAUAAUUAAAUUUUAAUCAUGUGCACCCAUGAUAAUAUUUUUAAAAUUGAAGUUACGAGAUAGAUUUUUUUUUUAAUAAUUAUUUUAUACAAUACAAUUAAAGUUUAAUAUAAUUGAAGCCCAUCUAAAAGUUCAAUCAACUCAAUGUAUUAAAGUUUAAUAUAAUUAAAGCUCAUUGAAGACUUGGAAGAGACUCGAACCUUCUAGUUCUCUACGUUAAAUAUAUAAAUAUAAAGAGAGGACAUGCCGAUCAGGGUUAGGAUUAGGAGAUAAUCUUGGAAGUUGUGAAAAAUACAAUAAAAUUGCUUAUCAGAAAAAAGUAGACACAGAUCAUUUUAAAAAGAAAAAAAAAAAGAAGAAAAAUUACAGAAUCUCCAUGCAUACGACCCAAUAAGAUAUUUGCUUGCCACGUAUAUACAUACAACUGUUUCAUCUCCCUUUGGCUGGGCAUUGCUAUAAAUACCUUGGCCUAGCACUAGCAGUACAACAUCAUCAAUCCCCCCUUACUUUCUUUCGCCCCAACAACAACGGCAAGCUUUUCUUCUCACUAUAAUAAUAAUAAUAUAUAUAUAUUAUUUGUAUACUUUUGUCGUCUUUUUCACUUCAAUUCGUUUACAUUUCUCCGCUUCCCCCACCCAAAAAAAACAAAAA
rnacentral:lncRNA from 1 species